GACCUGGUAGCGUAAAGGUAACGCGGUUGCACUACAUUACUAAUGUGCAGCGCCGAUCCUCGUUCGACUCGAGGUCAGGUCA
rnacentral:tRNA from 1 species